UUUAAAGAACUUGCUACGUGACUCGUGAGUGAAGGAUGGGCGCCUCUGUCUAGGUUGUCGCCGGCUGCAACUAAUCAAAAUGGGCCUACAACAGUGAUUGACAAGUUGAUAACCAGCCGAUAUGAUGGGGGAGGCCGCAUGGCACCGCCCUCAGCCCAUGAAUACGAAUAUGAUUGGCUUGGUUUCUCCUCAUCACACCGAUUUAUUAUAGUUUGCAAUUCAAACGUAAUCUGGCGGGAGUUAGUCACUGAAGCUCAAGGAAUAGUGUGGUGAGUGCGCGGAAAAACGGAGGAUAAGAAAACUAAAAUCAUGCCUGGUUUAGCCACUGAGCUAAGACAGCUUAUCGAAGGAGAAACUAAAUCUACAAGGAGACACAAAGUCUUAAUCAAAUGGCUGCAGAAGAAAAUACUUCUAAGAAGACGGAUGAGAUGCAAAGAAUGCAAACACAAGAUGAAAUUCAGGGAAUCAGUCUGUGUGGAUAACUAUGCAUGGAUUUGCAAACACCACAGCCACAAAGGAAGGAAACUGAAGAGGUCUGUUAGACACAAAUCUAUAUUCAGCAAAUCAAAGGUCUCCCUCUUCAACUGGAUGCGGUUUCUCUACAGAUUUGCACAAGGCCUGUGCCUACGUCAAGUGUAUAUGAUAAGUGACGACAUUUCUGGGAGCUCAGCAACACUGUCCAAGAUGGCUCGAAAGCUGCGAGAUGUUUGCACCACUGCAAUGGACAGAUAUCAGCAAGCAAGAGGCCAGUACAUCGGGGGGCAGGAGCAGUUUUUCACAGUUGAUGAGAGCCACUUUAGACAUAAAAGAAAGGCAAUCAGUUAUUAUUAUUAUUUGCUAUUAUGUAAUAAUGCAAAUAUACAAAUUAUUGAAUGGCAGAUAUUUUUUUGGUUUGAUGAAGAAUAGUUCCUAAUAUUUCAUGUUUUCAACAGUAUGGACGGGGACGAAUGGCUGGUGGGUGGAAGAGGAAGAAGUGGGUGUUUGGGAUGCUAGGUGUUGACCGGAGGGGGAGAAGACAUGCUAAACCUAUUCUUCGCUUGGUCGAGAGAAAAAGAAGGAGAGAUCUGGUGCCGCUUAUAGCUCACCAUGUUAAAGUAGGCUCUAAAAUAAUAAGUGACGAAUGGGGGGCUUAUCACAGUGCUUUACCUGAGCUAGGUUACACUAAUUUCACUGUCAAUCACAGUGUGUCAUAUGUCGAUGCCCAAACAGGUGCACAUACUCAACACAUAGAGAGGGCCUGGAGAACAGUUAAGGAAAAUGUGUGGAGACUCAGGGGAAAUCGUACAGAAGAGUUACUGUUAGACCAUCUCAGAGUUAUUGAAUGGCAUGAGUGGCUUGGCCGUCAACAUCGCAAAGGGCCGCUAGGACGGGUAAUCCAUGACAUUGCUGUGAUGUAUGGACAUUAAAAGAUCUGUUUGACCAGCGUUCUGCUCAAAAAGUUCUAAAAUUCCGUUUUAUUCUGCUGAUCUGCCAUGUGACGACUCAGUAUGUGUGGAAAAGGAAUAAACAGUGUUCAACACUUAA